GUCUACAAAGCAUGGUGAUCUGAAGGUGAAUCUGUGGAGUUUUCCAUAAACUGUGCUACUGACACAGAGUUCCCUGACAAGAAAACCAGGAGCGGAUUUUACCAGGUCUUAGAUGCCACAAGCUG